rnacentral:rRNA from 1 species
AAGUACGUGAAAUUGUUGAAAGGGAAGGGCAUUUGAUCAGACUUGGCGGGGCAGUACUGGCGUCCACUUGUGGGGCGUUUACUGGUGCUCUGCUGGGCCAGCAUCGAUUUGUGCGGCAGGAGAAUUGGGCGGGAACGUGGCUGUGCUUCGGGACAGUGUUAUAGCCCGCUCGGAUGCUGCCAGCGUGGAUCGAGGACUGCGUUCUUUUUGGACUAGGAUGCUGGCGUAAUGAUCUAAUGCCGC